GGUUAAGCGACUAAGCGUACACGGUGGAUGCCCUGGCAGUCAGAGGCGAUGAAGGACGUGCUAAUCUGCGAUAAGCGUCGGUAAGGUGAUAUGAACCGUUAUAACCGGCGAUUUCCGAAUGGGGAAACCCAGUGUGUUUCGACACACUAUCAUUAACUGAAUCCAUAGGUUAAUGAGGCGAACCGGGGGAACUGAAACAUCUAAGUACCCCGAGGAAAAGAAAUCAACCGAGAUUCCCCCAGUAGCGGCGAGCGAACGGGGAGCAGCCCAGAGCCUGAAUCAGUGUGUGUGUUAGUGGAAGCGUCUGGAAAGGCGCGCGAUACAGGGUGACAGCCCCGUACACAAAAAUGCACAUACUGUGAGCUCGAUGAGUAGGGCGGGACACGUGGUAUCCUGUCUGAAUAUGGGGGGACCAUCCUCCAAGGCUAAAUACUCCUGACUGACCGAUAGUGAACCAGUACCGUGAGGGAAAGGCGAAAAGAACCCCGGCGAGGGGAGUGAAAAAGAACCUGAAACCGUGUACGUACAAGCAGUGGGAGCCUCUUAAUGGGGUGACUGCGUACCUUUUGUAUAAUGGGUCAGCGACUUAUAUUCUGUAGCAAGGUUAACCGAAUAGGGGAGCCGAAGGGAAACCGAGUCUUAACUGGGCGUUAAGUUGCAGGGUAUAGACCCGAAACCCGGUGAUCUAGCCAUGGGCAGGUUGAAGGUUGGGUAACACUAACUGGAGGACCGAACCGACUAAUGUUGAAAAAUUAGCGGAUGACUUGUGGCUGGGGGUGAAAGGCCAAUCAAACCGGGAGAUAGCUGGUUCUCCCCGAAAGCUAUUUAGGUAGCGCCUCGUGAAUUCAUCUCCGGGGGUAGAGCACUGUUUCGGCAAGGGGGUCAUCCCGACUUACCAACCCGAUGCAAACUGCGAAUACCGGAGAAUGUUAUCACGGGAGACACACGGCGGGUGCUAACGUCCGUCGUGAAGAGGGAAACAACCCAGACCGCCAGCUAAGGUCCCAAAGUCAUGGUUAAGUGGGAAACGAUGUGGGAAGGCCCAGACAGCCAGGAUGUUGGCUUAGAAGCAGCCAUCAUUUAAAGAAAGCGUAAUAGCUCACUGGUCGAGUCGGCCUGCGCGGAAGAUGUAACGGGGCUAAACCAUGCACCGAAGCUGCGGCAGCGACACUAUGUGUUGUUGGGUAGGGGAGCGUUCUGUAAGCCUGCGAAGGUGUACUGUGAGGUAUGCUGGAGGUAUCAGAAGUGCGAAUGCUGACAUAAGUAACGAUAAAGCGGGUGAAAAGCCCGCUCGCCGGAAGACCAAGGGUUCCUGUCCAACGUUAAUCGGGGCAGGGUGAGUCGACCCCUAAGGCGAGGCCGAAAGGCGUAGUCGAUGGGAAACAGGUUAAUAUUCCUGUACUUGGUGUUACUGCGAAGGGGGGACGGAGAAGGCUAUGUUGGCCGGGCGACGGUUGUCCCGGUUUAAGCGUGUAGGCUGGUUUUCCAGGCAAAUCCGGAAAAUCAAGGCUGAGGCGUGAUGACGAGGCACUACGGUGCUGAAGCAACAAAUGCCCUGCUUCCAGGAAAAGCCUCUAAGCAUCAGGUAACAUCAAAUCGUACCCCAAACCGACACAGGUGGUCAGGUAGAGAAUACCAAGGCGCUUGAGAGAACUCGGGUGAAGGAACUAGGCAAAAUGGUGCCGUAACUUCGGGAGAAGGCACGCUGAUAUGUAGGUGAAGUCCCUCGCGGAUGGAGCUGAAAUCAGUCGAAGAUACCAGCUGGCUGCAACUGUUUAUUAAAAACACAGCACUGUGCAAACACGAAAGUGGACGUAUACGGUGUGACGCCUGCCCGGUGCCGGAAGGUUAAUUGAUGGGGUUAGCGGUAACGCGAAGCUCUUGAUCGAAGCCCCGGUAAACGGCGGCCGUAACUAUAACGGUCCUAAGGUAGCGAAAUUUCUUGUCGGGUAAGUUCCGACCUGCACGAAUGGCGUAAUGAUGGCCAGGCUGUCUCCACCCGAGACUCAGUGAAAUUGAACUCGCUGUGAAGAUGCAGUGUACCCGCGGCAAGACGGAAAGACCCCGUGAACCUUUACUAUAGCUUGACACUGAACAUUGAGCCUUGAUGUGUAGGAUAGGUGGGAGGCUUUGAAGUGUGGACGCCAGUCUGCAUGGAGCCGGCCUUGAAAUACCACCCUUUAAUGUUUGAUGUUCUAACGUUGGCCCCUGAUCGGGGUUGCGGACAGUGUCUGGUGGGUAGUUUGACUGGGGCGGUCUCCUCCUAAAGAGUAACGGAGGAGCACGAAGGUUGGCUAAUCCUGGUCGGACAUCAGGAGGUUAGUGCAAUGGCAUAAGCCAGCUUGACUGCGAGCGUGACGGCGCGAGCAGGUGCGAAAGCAGGUCAUAGUGAUCCGGUGGUUCUGAAUGGAAGGGCCAUCGCUCAACGGAUAAAAGGUACUCCGGGGAUAACAGGCUGAUACCGCCCAAGAGUUCAUAUCGACGGCGGUGUUUGGCACCUCGAUGUCGGCUCAUCACAUCCUGGGGCUGAAGUAGGUCCCAAGGGUAUGGCUGUUCGCCAUUUAAAGUGGUACGCGAGCUGGGUUUAGAACGUCGUGAGACAGUUCGGUCCCUAUCUGCCGUGGGCGCUGGAGAACUGAGGGGGGCUGCUCCUAGUACGAGAGGACCGGAGUGGACGCAUCACUGGUGUUCGGGUUGUCAUGCCAAUGGCACUGCCCGGUAGCUAAAUGCGGAAGAGAUAAGUGCUGAAAGCAUCUAAGCACGAAACUUGCCCCGAGAUGAGUUCUCCCUGACUCUUUAAGGGUCCUGAAGGAACGUUGAAGACGACGACGUUAAUAGGCCGGGUGUGUAAGCGCAGCGAUGCGUUGAGCUAACCGGUACUAAUGAACCGUGAGGCUUAACCUU
rnacentral:rRNA from 1 species